UUCACAUGUCUCUAUUUCAAAUACUGGGUUAAUAUGCAAUUUAUAUCUAGCAUAAAAGUUAAUAAUACCAAUAUCUGAUAGUAGUAUUGCAUUCUGUGGAUCUUGUUUACAAACUUUCACAGAUUUAUAUCACUCAAAUCGAACCACCAACUAAUACAAAGACAUGCAUGCAUAAACCAGAUAACCUCAAAAUCAGAUACGUGCAAUUAGUAAUGUACACAGAAGGCCAAGGUGUGCACGUUCAGAACGAAUGCGACGUCUCAUGUCCUACCGAAGGAUUACCGGAUUACCGCACCAAGAACAAAUAGGCGAGGACCUGAAAUCCGAAAAACCAACAGCUCCCCGAGAAGCUCCAAAUGAAUAAAAUCAGAUAGCCCGAGAUGAAACACGCAAAGCAGAGGAGAAUCCCAAAAUGUCAGCACUACGACACAAAGAUACAUUGUAGAAAGCAGUUGGAUAAAAUGGAAACAAGUGUAAAAAAAAAAAAAAAAAAAAUAACAA